UACGAAGGGGGCUAGCGUUAUCCGGAAUUAUUGGGCGUAAAGCGUCCGUAGGUGGUUGACCAAGUCUGCUGUCAAAGGGUGGGGCUUAACCUCAUAAAGGCAGUGGAAACUGGUGAGCUAGAGUGCGGUAGGGGUAAGGGGAAUUCCCAGUGUAGCGGUGAAAUGCGUAGAGAUUGGGAAGAACAUCGGUGGCGAAAGCGCCUUGCUGGGCCUGCACUGACACUGAGGGACGAAAGCUAGGGGAGCGAAAGGG
rnacentral:rRNA from 1 species